rnacentral:lncRNA from 1 species
AAAAAAAAAAAAAAAUAGUGAAUAAAAUAGAAGGGUGUGGACAUUCUUUGGGACCUUGGCUUUUAGUUGGACUUGAGUGACGGGGUGUUAGUUUUGAACUUUUACGAUUCUUGAUUAGGAUUCUGUGGGAGUAGUAGUUUUUUAUUAGUUUUAAACUUUUACGAUUCUUGAUUAGGAUUCUGUGGGAGUAGUAGUUUUUGUCUUGUCUCAAUAAAAGAGCAUGCUUGCACACACUGGCACUCCACACUUGUAAAUAGAAAAGUAAUUGACUUGGUAGCGAGAGAGAUGAAAUUCAAGAACAUUAGCACAAUCUGAGGUAUUAUAAUUGACAAGGCAAUUACUUCAUAGUUCACUCAUUCAUCAUGUAGUUGCAUUCAUGCAUUGCAUUGUAUUAUUGUAUAGUGUCGUUGACGCUUGAGGACAAGCAUCAGUUUAAGUUUGGGGGUGUGAUAAGUGGUAUUUAUACACACUUAUAGGCCUUCAUUUCCACUUAAAUUGGUUGGUUGUACUUAAGUGUUUAGUGUCUUUUGAUGUGUUUUUAGUGUUUUUCU